UACAGAGACCUCGAGCGUUAUCCGGAUUUAUUGGGCGUAAAGAGCAUGUAGGCGGGUAUGUUAGUCAGAUGUCAAAUCUCCGAGCUCAACUCGGAAACUGCAUUUGAAACGGCAUAUCUUGAGGAAGGGAGAGACCAGUGGAACGUAUGGUGUAGCAGUGAAAUGCGUUGAUAUCAUACGGAACACCAAAGGCGAAGGCAUCUGGUUGGCCCUUUUCUGACGCUGAGAUGCGAAAGCGCGGGUAGCGAAUGGG
rnacentral:rRNA from 1 species